GGUAACUCAUUUGGAGACGUAGCACUAGGUUCAUCGCCAUUGCUCUUCUGCAAGGUUGGUUCGAGAAAUCACAGCUAGUUUAGUUGAUCAAGAUGUUUCUUCCUGAAGAUCUGGGCAGUCCAUUACAAAGCUAUUGCCUAUGGGGACGAGAGCUUUUUAUGAACUGUUGGGUUAGUAACGAUAGUGUGUGAUGGGAGUUUGAAUUUGAGCAUAAAUACUUUGAGGGUUGGAGAGUGGUAAAGUCGUCAGGUCUUUUACAAGCUAGAUACCCUUUGAAGAAGGAGUGGAAUUUGUGGGAUGCAGAUAUGCUUAGCAAUAAAGAAUAUUGGCAGGGCAGGGGCAGGGCAAGAA